rnacentral:rRNA from 1 species
CAAGGGGUCUAUACUGAGAGUGCUCCACCUGUUCCCAUAUCGAACACAGAAGUGAAAUCUCUCAAGGCCGAUGAUAUUGCUUCGGCGAGAAAGUAGGUAGACCUCUUAC